AGCACACCAGGUGCUCGCUGUCAGCCCGAACAAAAAGGAAGAGUCAGCAACUCUUGGGGUAGGGGGAGGCGGGAGCCACUGCCUGCUCCAGCCUUGCAGCCUCUCCCUGUUAACCCCUGCUCUGCCACACAGCUGCCACGUGGGGUGUCCCACACAGCCCUGCUCUCUUGAGACACUCUGUCCCUUCAGUCAUCUGGGAGAUGCACUUAUCUUUGUGGUGGGCAGUGGCAGGACUUUCAUUUUCCCUCCCCAAAGCCUGAAGGAAACGCAGCAGCUCUCUCUGUUCUACCCUUUCCCCCAUGGAAGGGCUUAAGUAGUCCUUGAGAGGUUGGUAAACUAGACUGGCAGGGGUCAGUGACCUUGGGUUUCUGAAGGUGCUGUAGGUGGUGGCUGGGGUGCUGUGUGAGGAAGGGAUAAAAGAAGGUGGUAGUGGGCCCUUACAUUGCCUAUAAAGACCCCCCCCCCAUCUCCCUCUCUGCCUUGGCUCCAGGUUCCUUGCAUAUUAGGAGCCUCCCUAAGUCCUCUGGCCUGGAGCAGUGGGAGUAAGAGGAGAAGGGGACAUAGGCUAUUCUAUAGAGAUGGCUCUCAGUUGACUGAACAAACUGGGCUCACUUGCUUGGCCUUUGGAAAAGCUCUGGAGCUCAUCCUGGAAUACUCAGGGGUGUGGAGGGUAAACAGCGAAGUGGGCUCUCAACCUCCACUCCCAUCUUGGGAGGGACUCCUGGCCCCUGGCUGAGGAGCAAGGCUUUAGGCAUGGGUUUCUCUCCAUUUUCCUUCCUCUUCCUGCAAAGCUCUGAAGGGAAGGAAGGUGCUUAGGGCUGCUGGGACUUGUUUCCAGUAUUCUCAUUGCUUGGGGAGUUCCCCUAAGGUUGGAUGGUGGGAUGAUGGUGGUGGCAGUGGUGUGUGCAGAAGUGAAUGAGAGGGAAAUUCCACCUAGAAGAGGAGGAGCGGGCACUGGCCUUUAACCCCAAGAAGGCAAGAAUUAGUGCUUAUACCUCCACUUCUUCAUGCUGGUCUCCUUCAGAGUCUGGCCUGACAUUCUGGAGCCUUCCAUUUGGACAUUAACUUAAGUCUUGGUUAUUCUAGAGUUUAUGUCAUGGGUGUCCUGGUUCCCCUCUCUUGCACAAGGGGAAGGACUUGUAGAGGGGAAGGGUGUUCCUUCUGAUAUAUUCUCACCCUCUAGCCCCGUCUCUGUCUGGCCACUCAGGGUGCAUUUACCCAGAGAGGCCUCAGUGGAUUUCCCUACCUAGGGCUGCACCAGAGGCAGACGUGGUGGCCGGCCGGGAGCCCUCCUUGGCCGGCUCCUCUCAGUCGAUCAGGGCCAACUCCCAAGCCCUCUGCCGCGCAGUGCGUUAUGAAGCCCCAGGGCAGACCCAGCCGCUGCGCCCCUCGCCACUCUCAUCCGCGUUCUUCCCCGGGCUUCGGGCCCGGUCCGCGCCCCCCUUCCGCGGCCCUCUCGCUGGGCUCCAGCUGCGCGCGGAGCGGUCCCCGGCUCGGCUCCAGCUCCUCAAUGGCCCUACUCCCCCAUUACCCUGAUGUCGGCCCCUCUCCCCCUCGGCUUUAUCGGCUCUCAGCCGGCUCCGCCGGGGUAAUGAGGGCCCUCCUAAUUACCAUUGCAGAAACUCCACUUACAUUAACAGCUCCAUCCGAGGAGCGGCAACAUCUGCUGUGCGCAGGCAGGCGCCCCUCCCCCGCCCCUCGCUCCCCGCCCCUCGCCGCUCCCCUCUUUCCCAACCCUCUCCCCCAACCUCCUUUCCACCCUUUCUGGAUCCCCUCUGCAAUCUUCCCCUUCUAAUCUCUCGUCAUGCCCUCCCACCACCCUACCAGCCAGGUCCUUUUCAACGACAGCAGCCAGGAUAAGAGAGAUCCGCACUGGGACAGGGCCCCAGAGAUAUGGAGAGAUGGAGACACUCAAGAGGGCCCGGGCCAGAACUCCAAGAGGCCCAUAAACUCAGGAUCCCAGAAACAUAUUCAGGGAACCCGGGAACACACAGAAAAUGAAAGCAGCAGAGCUUUCGAAAGAGUUGGAGUGUAGAAGGGGGCAAACUGCCUACAUGCACAUGGGGGCAGGAGGUGGGCAGCUCUGAGGUCCACCAGUGGGCAAAGCUCCAGGUCAGCUUCUAGGGAGGAGGCCUGGGAGGAGGAAGACGUGUGAUGAGCUGAAAGAAACUGGAAGGUGCCAGGGCUUGAGGGGAGAGACUGUCCCUAAAGCACCGUCAGGUUCCGAUGGAAGAAAAAAAAGGGAUAGAGAAUUGACAGGGAAAAAACUUUCUCACUGUGAGAUUCAGUGUGAUUUAACAUCUUGUCAAGCACCAUCGAAAAUCAUCUGGAAUCCUGCCAGAGGUCCAGGUGCCACUCUUGGAUAAACAGCUCUGAAAUAGAAGCUGCCUAUCUCCUCUGAGGUCUUGCUUACCUCCAACACAAGGGGACUAGAAACUUCUGGAGACACUGGCGUGGACAGAUUCUUGUAUCAAGAACCCUUUGUCUGGAGACAAUUCAGCUUCCUGCACCUUCUGCCCACUGUCCUGCUGUCCUCUUGGUGUCUGACACAGGCUUGGGCACACAUGAACCUAAAAUUUGCAUAUUAAUUGCUUUGUGCUUGAGCCUCUUCCCUGGAUCAGAAGCUGAGGCAGAAUUGUCUUUUUUUUUUAAUAUUUAUUUUUUAGGUGUAGUUAGAUAAAAUACCUUUAUUUAUUUAUUUAUAUUUUUUAAAUGUGGUGCUGAAGAUUGAACCUAGGGCCUCACACAUGUUAGGUGAGCACUCUACCACUGAGUCACAACCCCAGCCCUGAGGCAGAAUUUUCUACUGAAGACAAAAGAAUCCCAAAUUUGUCUGGGACAGGGCCUUGGUACCAAGUAAAAUCCAUUAUUUCCUCUGGGAGGAAAUUAGCAUUUUUUUAAUAUUUGGGUUUUUUUUUCAGUUGUAGGUGGACACAAUAACCUUUAUUUUAUUUUUAUGUGGUGCCAAGAAUUGAACCUAGUGCCUCACGCAUGGUAAGCAAGCACUCUACUGCUGAGCCAUGGUCACAGCCCAGAAAUUAGCAUUUUUGGUAAAAAUGCUAAAGUAAUUUUUCUGAUAAACUUUUAAUGAAAUUCAAAUUUUUUUCUUAGAAACGAGUUUCCCACUACCUUUCUGAUUAUAAGAGUUUGAUGAAUUUUAUCCAGACAUUUGUUUUAUAUGUCCACUUUAACGAGUCUAAUUCCUUUUCUUUCCUCUAAGUGUGUCUCCCAAGAGGUAAUCUUAAAUUGGCCUCUUAUAGGUCUCUGUACUUGCAGCAAGACUGAAAUAAAACUUUGACACAUACUCAUAAAUAAAUAGUCUAAAAACCCCUUUA